GGACUACUCGGGUUUCUAAUCCUGUUUGCUCCCCACGCUUUCGUAGUUGAGUGUCAGUACCUGUCCAGGUCGCCGCCUUCGCCACUGGUGUUCCUCCCGAUCUCUACGCAUUUCACCGCUACACCGGGAAUUCCACGACCCUCUCCAGGACUCGAGUCUGACCGUUUCUGGGGCACUUCUUGAGUUAAGCUCAAGGCUUUCACCCCAGACAAAUCAGACCACCUACCUACCCUUUACGCCCAAUAAUUCCGAGCAACGCUCGCACCCCUCGUAUUACCGCGGCUGCUGGCAC
rnacentral:rRNA from 1 species